GGCGGCAUAGUGGAACUGGUUUAACACGCCACCCUCUCAAGGUGGAGAUUCGGGGUUCGAGCCCCCGUGCCGUCACCA
rnacentral:tRNA from 1 species